CAAGGGCACCAUCGCUGCAUCUUGGGCUUAGCUCCUUCCAAGAUGACUAUGACUUUGUUUUUAAGAAACACAAAUAAAGUAUUUUUCCCCCUAUAGCAGAAAGAUAAUCUGUGAUUCUAGACCUUUCUCUUGCACUGACACAGCACUGACAAGAUAGGUCUGGCUGCAUGCAGUGUUGGGCUCAUUACUCUAACAAUAUAAUUCAUUAACGUUACUCAUUAGUCUCUACAAAAGUAAUUAUAUUACUUUACUUAUUACUCCCUGCCAACAGUAAUUCUUUACACUACUCGUUGUGUUACUUUUCCGUUACACCCCAUAAAAUUGGUAAUGGCGUAUCUCCCCAAAUUCAGAUGUGUGCCUCUGUGUGAAUGUCAGGGUGAUCGCUGUUAAAUGUAGCUAAUGCUAGUUAGCUUCCACUUACCUGGGGGUCCUCAGUUGCCUGUGACCGUUAUUUUCCAGAGGCUCUGCCCGAAACACGGAGAGUCACGCAUGGAGCAACAUUUCAUCCACCUCAUAUCCAGCCACAAGCUCCAUUACUUCUUUGAAGCUGCAGCUGUCCACCACUAAAAUCCAGUUUGGGUUGUUUAGCUAGUGUAGCGCUACAGCCGACCUCUGCGGCCGAGGAGGGCUCACCUUUGGUAGGGUGUAUUUCCUGGAGCUUCGCGUUGUUCAGUUGUCGGUGGUAGUUUCCGAGGUGUUUCAGACCGGAGGUUUGAGGACGUGUUUUUUCGCAGUGGAAAGAGUUUUAGUCCGACUACCUACAGAGACAGUGUUCUUGUCAUCUUUCCUCCUGACAAAACCAAAGUAGUGGGAAUAUUUCCAGCCGCUAAGCCCAGAACAAAACCCUCUACAUAAUGUGAUGCUGUUGGACAGUGACUGGCUCCUCACCUCAUCUCUGGCCCUAUGACAGAGUGUCUGCGGAGCGUGGCCCUGGCCCUGGCGUUGGUCAGAUUGGAGGUGUGAGGAGAGCAUCACUUCACCACUCCUCUUCAGGGCAGUCGUCAUCACCACCGCCUAUUAGCGUCAUUAUCGCCAUGCCAGUGACGUACACACACCAAGACACCAUUACCAUGAGAA